UUUUAUGGAGGAGCAAAGAAAGCAGUUUCUUGAGAUAGAAUAUACUUUUGGUGAAGAUGCUGUGAA
rnacentral:pre_miRNA from 1 species